rnacentral:rRNA from 1 species
GAUGAACGCUGGCGGCGUGCCUAAUACAUGCAAGUCGAGCGAACAGAUGAGGAGCUUGCUCCUCUGACGUUAGCGGCGGACGGGUGAGUAACACGUGGAUAACCUCCCUAUAAUACUGGGAUAACUUCGGGAAACCGGAGCUAAUACCGGAUAAUAUAUUUAACCGCAUGGUUCAAUAGUGAAAGACGGUUUUGCUUUCACUUAUAGAUUGAUCCGCGCCGCAUUAGCUAGUUGGUAAGGUAACGGCUUACCAAGGCAACGAUGCGUAGCCGACCUGGGAGGGUGAUAGGCCACACUGGAACUGAGACACGGUCCAGACGCCUACGGGAGGCAGCAGUAGGGAAUCUUCCGCAAUGGGCGAAAGCCUGACGGAGCAACGCCGCGUGAGUGAUGAAGGUCUUCGGAUCGUAAAACUCUGUUAUUAGGGAAGAACAAAUGUGUAAGUAACUAUGCACGUCUUGACGGUACCUAAUCAGAAAGCCACGGCUAACUACGUG